UAAGAACUCCAUUGAGCAUUUGUCAAUAUCCAUGAAAAUGAUGCUAUAUUGCCACGACAGAUGUGAUUUUUAACACGUAUAUCAUUAUAUUAGUUGUAGUAAGAUUUACGAGCGGCAACAUUUUUUGUUUGAAUUCCGUUUAUCUCCUUUUUCAGAACUGCUAAGCUUUUUUUUUUUUAGGUGUCUCUGGCCAUGGCUGGUUAUCACUGGUAACAGUUUACGGGCCGCCAUUGUCGGGGCCCUUACACACCAUUUUCUUUAUUUGUGUUUAGGUUUUACAUGAAUUUUGUUACAAAGAAAAUUGGGAGGGGGCGUUCGUAUUUAGAAAAUAUUUUGGGGUACAAAUUUAAAUUCUUUUAAUGAUUUUAGUAAUUGUGAUGAAAUUUAUGAGUGAUUUGGUAAUUUCUUCUUGGGUGUGUUUAGGGAUGAAGAAUUUGACGCCGGUUAAAGUUGGAACAUCAAAAGGAAGUUUGAGUUUCUUGAUCUCGUGUUUCAGUUCCCUCCUAGCUACGGAGUAGUGAGGGCAGUGGAGGAGGACGUGCGUCGAGUUUUCUGUUUUGGACAUCCGUGUGGGCAUUUCGGUUGGAUAUCCAUGUCCCAUUUGUUGAUUGUGCCGUUUAGUUUGUUGUGGCCACUUCUUAGCCGGAUUAGUGAGGAUUGGAUUGCUCUGUUUUUGUGGGUGUGCCAGCUGGCCAUCCUCAUUUUUGUUCGUUGAGUGAUGGCUUGAUUUGUGGAAUUGUUUUUUAAUUUUUCUAGAGCUUUGUGUUGAUAAUUGUUUUUGAUUUUCAUUAGUUGUUCGGCCAUGUUGGGUGUGUGACAUAUCGUUUCGCCGUCGUCUGCUGUUCUUCUGUUGUUGGCUAGCUGGUCUGCGAUUGGGUUCCCUGGUAUUCCUGCGUGACUAGGUAUCCAAAAUAAGUUGAUUUUCGUUCCUGCUGAUCUGAAAUCAACAUGGUCGGUAGAAAUCUAGAUGAUGCUUAUCAUGUAGCUGCGCCGUCACUUUUUCCCCUAGUAGAUGGCAAUGCUUAUCGUCUAGAUGAUAAGCAUCAUCUAGAUGAUGUCGGCACAGGUAACCAUAGUAACGUAACAGAGAGUCUCACAUCAACACAAACUUCAAAUUUGAUUCAAAUUUAUUUUGUUCGUAGCUUUAGCAAUUGUUGUUAUUGAGUGAAUUCAUUAUUGGUCCUAACUCCUAAGUUUUCUUUAUUUCCACAUAGAACCUGAUGGUUUACCAUUCUAUUUGUGAUGGAAGAAAAGAGACCAGCUAGGAAGCUGGAAAGGCAUUUGUAGUAGACACAUUAAUCGCUUUGUGGUCUGCAGGAAUUAUUCUGUUUCAUUUAUAGUUUUUAUUCCCUAAAAAUGUUUCCAAUUUGCAGGAGUACCAAUCUUCUAUUAUGACUAUGCUCCUCUUAACCAGUGUUGGCAAGCCAAAUCGCCUAAAUGAAGGCAAAUAAAAUAACCUUUUUGGUUUUUCCUUUCUUAGUUGACUACUCAGUCAAUUAGAGAUUCCAAUCUAAUUAUUAGGCCUUCUGAUUUUAUAUUAUCUCUGUUUUUAAGUUGAUAAAAAUUGCACUUUGAACUAUAACGUAACAAAUGUAAAACAUUCAACUUUACAACCCGGCAGAUAUUCACAGGAUUUUCUUUGCCCAGCAGCUUGCAGACUGAAUUGAGUCGCAGUUGAGGAUAAUUAUGAACAUAUUCUAAACCUAUCUCCAAAUGCUUAUUAUAUAUUCCAAUAUUCAGGGCAAAUAAGCUUGCAAAUAAGCUGAAAACUAGACCGAAAAUACUGAAGAUCGUCUUUCUAGUGCAAUCAUGGCCUGCAUAAAUUAUUUCGUUUUUCUAAGUUCUUGAAGUAUGUUGUGUAAAUGAGAUAUCUGAUGUCAGAAUAUACCGUGCUAAAAAUUAAAAA